GACUUUUAUAUAAUUAUGUGAUUACAGCUCGGAAUUACAGUGGGUUCUGCAUAUAUAAAGAUUUUCUCUGGAUUCGAUGUUUCACUAUUUAGUAUCGAGUAAAAUCAACAAAUAAUUAUGGGUCAAACGAGGAUGAGAGUAUUUUAAAGUUGAAACAUAGUUGCAGAACACUCAUCAAAGCUUUAAUAAUAUUUUGUUCAUCUGGAACUUGAAAUGUCCUUUGUGUAUUGAUAAGCAAUUCAUGCAUGACUUUCAUCCUGAUUUGACAGAGGCUAUAUAAAUCUAAAAUACCAGUUUAAAAACUUACAUUAUCAAAUGAACCAGUGUUGCCAGUAUGCCUGAUUCAGGAGAUGAUUCUUGAUUGGGCAAAGUUAAACUAGACUGGGCUACUAGCAAGUGAUAUGUCGCAGGAUUUGAGCUAGUAGUGAACUGGAUAUUUCAAUGUUGUGUGCACUUUUUUCAUCGUCGCUGUUACUUUCAACUAGAACCUACAUAUACAAAAAAUAAAUAAUCUUACAUUCGUAUCAUAAACGUGAAGCUAUAAGAACAUAUUUUGAAUAAUUGAUGUCCGCUGUCGUGAUUUGGCCAUCAGCAAACAACAGUCGUCGACACGAAGGUGAAGAAAGUAAAUAACAUUUGCCAGAAUUAAGCUAGUACAGCAUGAGACGUUUCUUGAACGUAUUUUCCUAAUAAAUUGUUUAUUUGUUCAAAAUAUACUGCAACGAACGAGGUUUUACGCUUGUAUUUUAUCCGUAUCCCUCGUCGAAGCAAAUCCCAACGGC
rnacentral:lncRNA from 1 species